AUACAGAGGUCCCAAGCGUUGUUCGGAUUCACUGGGCGUAAAGGGUGCGUAGGUGGUGAGGCAAGUCGGAUGUGAAAUCUCGGAGCUUAACUCCGAAACUGCAUUGGAAACUGCCUUGCUUGAGGUUUGGAGGGGGGACUGGAAUGCUUGGUGUAGCAGUGAAAUGCGUAGAUAUCAAGCGGAACACCAGUGGCGAAGGCGAGUCCCUGGACAACACCUGACACUGAGGCACGAAAGCUAGGGGAGC
rnacentral:rRNA from 1 species